GACGAAGGGGGCUAGCGUUGUUCGGAAUUACUGGGCGUAAAGCGCGUGUAGGCGGUUGCCCAAGUCGGGUGUGAAAGCCCCGGGCUCAACCUGGGAAUUGCAUUCGAGACUGAAUAGCUAGGGUACGGUAGAGGGAAGCGGAAUUUCCGGUGUAGCGGUGAAAUGCGUAGAUAUCGGAAGGAACAUCAGUGGCGAAAGCGGCUUCCUGGACCAGUACCGACGUUCAGGCACGAAAGCGUGGGGAGCAAACAGG
rnacentral:rRNA from 1 species